UACGUAGGGGGCAAGCGUUAUCCGGAUUUACUGGGUGUAAAGGGAGCGUAGACGGCUUGAUAAGUCUGAAGUGAAAGGCCAAGGCUUAACCAUGGAACUGCUUUGGAAACUAUGAGGCUAGAGUGCUGGAGAGGUAAGCGGAAUUCCUAGUGUAGCGGUGAAAUGCGUAGAUAUUAGGAGGAACACCAGUGGCGAAGGCGGCUUACUGGACAGAAACUGACGUUGAGGCUCGAAAGCGUGGGGAGCAAACAGG
rnacentral:rRNA from 1 species